GCCAGACUCCUACGGGAGGCAGCAGUGGGGAAUAUUGGACAAUGGGGUGAACCCUGAUCCAGCGACGCCGCGUGAGUGAAGAAGUAUUUCGGUAGGUAAAGCUCUAUCAGCAGGGAAGAAAGAAAUGACGGUACCUGACUAAGAAGCCCCGGCUAACUACGUGCCAGCAGCCGCGGUAAUACGUAGGGGGCAAGCGUUAUCCGGAUUUACUGGGUGUAAAGGGAGCGUAGACGGCGAUGCAAGUCUGAAGUGAAAGGCGGGGGCCCAACCCCCGGACUGCUUUGGAAACUGUAUAGCUGGAGUGCAGGAGAGGUAAGUGGAAUUCCUAGUGUAGCGGUGAAGUGCGUAGAUAUUAGGAGGAACACCAGUGGCGAAGGCGGCUUGCUGGACUGUAACUGACGUUGAGGCUCGAAAGCGUGGGGAGCAAACAGGAUUAGAUACCCUGUACA
rnacentral:rRNA from 1 species